rnacentral:rRNA from 1 species
AACGAACGCUGGCGGCAGGCUUAACACAUGCAAGUCGAACGCACCUUUCGGGGUGAGUGGCAGACGGGUGAGUAACGCGUGGGAAUCUACCCUUCUCUACGGGAUAGCUCCGGGAAACUGGAAUUAAUACCGUAUACGUCCUGAGGGAGAAAGAUUUAUCGGGGAAGGAUGAGCCCGCGUUGGAUUAGCUAGUUGGUGGGGUAAAGGCCUAGCAAGGCGACGAUCCAUAGCUGGUCUAAGAGGAUGAUCAGCCACGUUGGGACUGAGACACGGCCCAAACUCCGACGGAGGGGAGCAGUGGAGAAUACUGGGCAAGGAGCGCAAGUCUGAUCCAGCCACGCCGGGGGAGUGAUGAAGGCCGUAGGGUUGUAAAGCUCUUUCAGUGGGGACGAUAAUGACGGUACCCACAGAAGAAGCCCCGGCUAACUUCGUG